GGGGCCGUGGGGUAGCUUGGUCUAUCCUGCCGGCUUUGGGAGCCGGCGACCCGAGUUCAAAUCUCGGCGGCCCCACCA
rnacentral:tRNA from 4 species